rnacentral:rRNA from 1 species
GACGAACGCUGGCGGCGUGCUUAACACAUGCAAGUCGAACGGAAAGGCCCUGCUUUUGUGGGGUGCUCAAGUGGCGAACGGGUGAGUAACACGUGAGUAACCUGCCCUUGACUUUGGGAUAACUUCAGGAAACUGGGGCUAAUACCGGAUAGGAGCUCCUGCUGCAUGGUGGGGGUUGGAAAGUUUCGGCGGUUGGGGAUGGACUCGCGGCUUAUCAGCUUGUUGGUGGGGUAGUGGCUUACCAAGGCUUUGACGGGUAGCCGGCCUGAGAGGGUGACCGGCCACAUUGGGACUGAGAUACGGCCCAGACUCCUACGGGAGGCAGCAGUGGGGAAUAUUGCACAAUGGGCGGAAGCCUGAUGCAGCAACGCCGCGUGCGGGAUGACGGCCUUCGGGUUGUAAACCGCUUUCGCCUGUGACGAAGCGUGAGUGACGGUAAUGGGUAAAGAAGCACGGGCUAACUACGUG